AGUUUAUCCAUAACAAGUGCGCUGUCUGCUGUAAAUGUUAGUUGAAGCCUUACCGAGUGGAUAAUGUUUUACAGUCAUCUCUAUCAGCACUUUUUGGUCUCCAGUGAUGCUUAUGGAUGCAUUUCCUCUCGUCUCCUGGAGCAAUAUUUUACUCUUCGGCCAUUUGCUCUGUGACAGUUUCCUUCUGGUUUUUGGAAGAGAUUUUCAGCGAAUUGACUUGGGAGUUAAUACUGACCUGUUUCCUCAGCUUCAACAGCUGCUUGUACCCUGGCUCAUCCUGAUUUGGAAACCAACACUGUAAUGACUUUUCUGUCAACCUUUUGCAGUCAGUAUUCUUGGCCACACGUCAUGCUUUCCUGGAAUAAGCUGCCACGUGAUGUUCUGCAAGCAAGCUGAAACGUGCAUCUAGCCCAGUGGUUGGUUUGGGUCCUAAUGGGGGGUUCUUGUGACCCAGCCAUAGGGACAAGAUGUGUGGCACAGCUCUUCCUUCCUCCCAGCAGAGGAGAGUCAUGGAGAAGACCAAGCAAGUGCCUCCUUGGGACAGCGCUAGCUAUGAACCCGUGUCCUCUUAACUUCAGAGCGUUCCUAGGGGACCACUUCACCUUUUACAGAAUGAUUUAGUGGGAUGUGCGGGGUACAGAACACGAUUCCUGUCAUGGGGCUUAGCCUCAGACUCCCUCAGGAAGGGAAGGACGUGCAUCCUGCCUGUCCUGUGUUCCUCUCCAUGGACUCUUUCCAAGGUGUUGGUCUCCAGAAUGCUCCUGGCUCUGCUCUUCUUGGAAGCAAUGGUGAGACAUCUGUCAGUGUGAGCCCAUAGAGGGAAGCUGAGGUAGGUCACUUUGUAGUCAAUUCAGCUAACUUUUUCUCAAGUCUGAAUUAUCUCAAGGAAAAAUAUAGUUUUGGGUUUUCUGGAUGUGGUCCCAGCCCUAUUUCUGCAAAUGUGGCAUCUCUCAGUUAGGAGAGGGCAGUGCGAGAGUGGGGUGAGGCAGCAGGUCCCUUGCAAGCUGGUAUGCCACCAGAUCAUGCAGAUGGGUCAGGUUUUGUGCCGUGUUCAGGUUAAUGCUUUGCAAACACUAGGUCCAGACAAGAAGCAGUAGCUCCAAUAAUGUUUAAACGAGCUUAAAAUCUGGAGAUGAGAUCUGUAGGCCUUGUGCAAGGAGCAGGACAGUGGAGCACCCAGAAGUGGAUUUAAGACAUGUAGCUGCUUUGUUCUGGGCUUUGUUGAAACAGACUGCCCCGGGAGGUAGUGGAGUCACUGUCCCUGGAGGAGUUCAAGAACAGUGGAGAUGCGACGCUGAGGGACGUGAGCAGUGGGCAUGGUGGGAUGGGCUGGGGUUGGAUUUGGGGAUCUUAGAGGUCUUUUCCAACUUUAAUGAUUCUGUGAUUCUAUGAUUAGAAGAAGGUGGAGCAGUCACAGGGCUCCCAUGGUUCAGAAUUUGUCCAAGAUCUCUCAGUGUCCCCAUGCUGAAGGGCAGUGCUUGUGCUGGGAUGGUUGGAGCUAACCUGAGAUCCUCCCCAGGUGCUGUGGUGUGGUGCAGGCUGCAUUGGCAGAGGAGGUGCAAUGGGCAAGCAACAAAGUGCAGGAUGGGCCCUGAAAUGCCCUGGGACAUUGGUUUGCCAAACUUCUGUGUCAGUGGUACUGUCAACAAUGUCCUGCCAAGAAGCAUCAGCAGGCAUGCAGCUGAGAUUUCCCUUCCCCCCCCCCUCCUUUUCUUUCAUUCUAUUACUCCUGUUAAAUUCUCUUCACUGCACUCACUCUAAUGGUGCCUCAUUUGGUUUAUGUCCUUCAAACUCUUCCCUUUAAACACGUAGUCAUCACUUAGCUAAACUACUGUAUACAAAUAUAGCUCUUUUGAUCUUCCUACGUAAAUCAAUACCUCCUGCCCUUUAAUCUUCCUAGUGGCUUUCUCUGAACUCCCUGCAAUUUACUAUCCAUCUUUGAAAGUGAGUUGUCUUUUGGGCUUGAUUCUCUACAAUUUCAAACCUCCUGAAGUCCCAAUAGCUGCCCACAGCAGGUGCACACGGUGGUUCUCCACCACUCUGUUCAUGCUGAAGUAAUGCAAACACUUGCAUACAAGGCAUUUCAUGUCCCCUUAGGCUGGUGUGGCUCCCCAUGCCAGAAGUGAGUGGUCAUGCAGCACAAGCCCAUAUUUUCAAAGUAGUUCUCACAGGAUGCUAAAAGCCAUGGCGCAAGCCAUUGGGUGCCAUUUGGGGUUGAAGGAGAGUUGUAAUGGUUGAGUUAUGGAGAGGACUUUCUGCAGUUAUUGGUGGCUGUAGAGAUGAAUCUCAUCUUCUCCAUAGCAGUAGAGCCUGUAGAUGCAAGCAAGCAAGCCCAAGAUAAAGAUUUGUCCCCUGAGAGUGGGCAAUGUAUGUGUCCCUUCCUUCACAGGACAGCUCACCUUACCUGGCUGCAGGUGGGACCUUUUGAUGGGGCUAGACCAUGGGCUCAGCAGGAAACCAGAUCUGGAAGCCCAUCCAGGGUGCAUGUCAUCUCUGUGCAGGGAAGGGUUGCCUUGUCAGCUGCUUUGCAGUGCCAGGAGCUCUGAGAAAUAACCUUGUGCCUUGCUUUGAUGCAAGUGUCAGACACAAGUCCAGCACACUCUCUAACCCAUGUGUCCAGUCUGCUGGUUGUAUUAUGUUUAGUAAAUAAGGUUGUCACUGGAGUGGUCUCGAGGGCAAGAAUUAAGGAAUCUCUUAGGGAUUGAAGAGACAAUUGUACAGUUCUCCCCGUCCUUGCCUUGACAGUUACCUCCAGUUUUCCCCUGGGACCAUUCCACUCUUGAACUGGGAAUGCUGUGAUUCAUAGAAUCACAGAAUCACCAAGGUUGGAAAAGACCUCCGAAAUCAUCCAGUCCAACCACUCACCUACCCCCAGUAUUUCCCCACUAAACCAUGUCCCUCAGUACAACGUCUAGACGUUUCUUGAACACCUCCAGGGAUGGGUCUCAACCACCACCCUGGGCUGCCCAUUUAAAACCAUUGCAGUAAAUGUCUUUUAUUCCCCCUCAUCUUUCAAAGGGAGGGGUUUAUAAUAGCAAUAACCCCUUCUUUUAGCAAUAACCCCUUCUUUUAGCAUUUCAUUAUGGGUCAAAUAAAAGCAUAUCAGAGCACGAGACAGAGAAUCUCACCACUCUGCUUGCCCCCAAAGGAUAAACAUAGUAGUGCUGCUACGGGCCCUAUAGCUUAAUUAGUUGCUAUUCUCUGCAGUUCCAAAAAAGGAUGAAAAAAAUCCUUUGCAAAGCCUAGGCAGGCUGUCUGUGUCAUAUUUCCUGUGUUCUUAGAGGUGUUAAUGAAUUCAUUAAUCACUUAAUGGCAAGGAGGGUCUUUGGGGACCAGCACUGCAAUUUACUGCUCCCAGGAGGCAGACUCUGUCACUGAUCUAAAGUUUCAGCUCCGCUAAUUUGUGCCAGCAGAGCCGCUGAGCUUCUGCCUGCAGCCCGCAAGCAUUGUGGCUACUGGGAGCAUCACAGCAGCACGCAAAGCAUCAGGGUAUGCUCACUUGGGAAGGUUUUGCAACGCGCAACGUUCUGGCUCUGAAAAGUUCAGAGCCCACAUGGAGGCAAGGAGGUGUUCCCCCAGCCUUGCAGUUGUGUUGCCUUGAUUCUUUUCAUUGGGAUAAGCUUGCUGCUAAGCCAGUCCUUGCAAUCAACUGGGGAAUGCAGCAGGAGCCUUGCUGACUUACAGGAAAUGCAAGCUAUGGAAGCGUGGCUGUAUAAUCUGGUCUGGGACUGCAGGCUAUGCAAUGAAAGGAGUCUGUGAAUCUCUUCUAAUUGAAGAGCGUCAGGCUGAUGUAUUUUGACUGAAACUGUCAGUUAAAAUGUGAAUUUGAAUGUUUGCAUUUCUGCUCUGCAGAAAAUGUUGAUUAUUUCAGUCUCUCGCCCUUGUUGCAGGAGAGUCACUUGUGCCAAAGUUCCCUACAAAAUGUCUCUUUUGGCUUCUUUCUCAUCACACGGCAGUUCAAGGAGAGGGGGACGUGAGCAGAGCCCUCCUCUCCGCUAAUUCCAUUCCACCAGCCUGUCAUCACGUUGCAAUUGCCGCUUCUAAAAGGUUUUUCUGCCUUGCUUUUCUGUGGCUGAGCUCCCCUUUCUAACUUCUGUCCGUCUUUCUCCUCGGUCUGUUGCUUUCCCAGGCUGGGAGUCAAAGAGGGCAAAGUACGUCAGAUGUGAGCAGGAGGGAGGGCAGAGUCCAUGGGUCAUGGCUGUCUGUGUGUGUGCACGUGCUCGCCUUCCACCGCUGGUAGCCUCCUUGGAGUCAUUCCCACACUCAUGUUCUUUGCUCAACAGUUACUGUAGGGAGGAGAGAGCUGGAAGGCAGGACAGAAGCUACAUGUUGAAUCAAAGGAGAGAAGGCGGGAAUACAAAACCACUUCAUCGUGGAAAACACAAAGGGAGACAAUUUCAGUAAAUGCCAGAUGGUCAAAAUUAACCAGAGACGUGUAGAGCCCUACAUGUCCAACUGUUUGCUUUGGCAGAGAUUCUUCAGCUUUUCGAACAAGAGUCUCUGGGGCGCCCUUUUCUUCUCCUUGGCUUUCCUCCUCUCCUUUGCUCAUCCUUUGGACUCCUCACCCCACCCUUCUCCUCUGGCUGUUUUUCCUGCCUCUCCUCUCUCACUGCUGCCCAUGAGUCAUGUUGCACCUCAAAUGCCAGCUUGUGUUACGGCGAGGGGAGACCACUGCAAAGAAAUGUCCUCAUGCAACAACAGACUUGGAGGGCAUGCAAGGUGGUGGCUGCAGCUGUCAAGGACCACUGCCAGCACAGCCCUGUGGAAAUGCUGGAGCACUUCAACCCAGUGCUUGUUGUUGCUGUGGGUAUUAAUUUCUUCCUCCCCUCCCAAGGGCCUUGACUCAGCUUUGAUUUUUUUUUGUUUCAGCCAGGAAUCCAGAAGGAGUUCUUGCGGUUCAGUAAGCAGAGGAGCAUGCAUAAGUUGCUUACCAUGAUGGAGCAGUGGGAUGUAGUCUUAGUGGGGCAGGGGGAUGCAACCUUGUUGGGGCAGUGGGACAUGUCCUUGUUGGGGCAGUGGGACAUGGCCUUGCUGGGGCAGUGGGACAUGGCCUUGCAGGGGCAGUGGGAUGUAGUCUUGCUGGGCAGUGGGCCAUGGCUGUGUUGGUGCAGAAGGAUGCUGUCUUGUUGGGGCAGAGGGACACGGCGUUCUUGAAUCCAAGCCAACUGCAUGGCAUGUUCCUCCAAACAAUGCAAUCAAGAGGGCCCUUGUAUGGCACAGACGGAGAGCUCCAGCUAACGACGGGCUCUUUUGUGUGCGCGUGUGCUCUCUGCAUUUGAAACAUUUAUUAUUCCAAAUUGCCUUCUGCACAUUUUACAAUAAUUACGACUAGUGUUUGCCUUGUUAUCUCCACAGUUACUAACAAGAAUGCCAUCAUUAUUCCAGUCAUUAGCAAAAUGGAUGUUGUUGUCCAGAGUUGCCGGCUGUGGGCCUGCUUUCAGAAGGAGUCUCAUGCUCUCCAACCUUGCCUACUCCAUCUUUCUUCCAGGGGAAUAUUGUUCUCAGUAGGUUUGAACCUGAGCGGGCGGAGGGGAAGCAGAGAUUUCAUGAAGAAGAAUUGCUUUGAGGGAGUGCUGGUGGGUGUCAGGAUUCGCAGCAGUGAGCACUGGGAAUCUGUUAAUGGCAACAUUAGUAGGAACGAGAGUAAAGGCAGCCAUUUGCCCGUGUUCCUUGUGUAUUUGGUGUAUCUUAGGUCUGCUCCUGCUGCUAGGAUCCAGUAACUCUUCCUGUAAGAAUGUGUUGCUUGGAUGUGAAGAGAUGCUAUCGAUCUUACAAUGGAGGUUGCAGAUGAAGGAGAAAAGGUUGGAAUUAAGCCGACAGCACUCAGCUGCUGUAAGGUGAGUCCAGCAAUCUGCAAUUCCACUGCCUGCUCAAGAGAGCUCCUGGCACCUCUCCCAUUAGCAGUUGGAAGCCCUGGCAGAUAUUAUGGACCCGCCAGGUUUCCUUUCAUAAACUGAAAAUAGGCAAGCUGGGUGGGUUGUCUUUCAAUGACGGUACUGCUGUGGGCUGCCUCCCAAAAUCUAGCAACCCUGAAACGUUCAGAAAUUCUUUUAGGUUUUGCCCAUUUCAGAGGAGGGAAGAGGAAGGAGAUUUGUAAUCCAGAAGCCUUCCAGUUCAUGUUCCAACGAAAAUGGAGAACUUCAGAUUUCAAGUCACGUGUAUCCUUUUCUUGAAAUCUACCAAAAAUAUUUACAGGUACCUGGUGACCACACGAAGCAGUUUGAUUUGGAAUAAUGUGUUUCAUACAAAGUCAGACUGUGGUUUGUUCUCAUUUUGGUAAAAAGGAAAAAAAAAGUAUUUUAUUAUACUUGGGGGAACCAGAGCUGUUGGUUAUCUAACUCACUGUGAGACCCCAGAGGAAAGAUCUGAUUUGCUUAGUGUGUAAAGACAAUAUGCACAAACACGGAGGCAAAUAGGAAGAAAGGUUUGUUUGUUUUCCCCCACGUGCUGAUGUUUGGAACUGUGACAUUCUUCCAUGGUUCGUCCUGAUGAGGCUUGGUUCCGUACUGCCAGGUUAACCAAGGAAUCACACUGGUUGUCCUUAGCUUAUAUAGCAAGCAAGGGAAAAAUAUAGGCAUUUUUUUUUCCUCCUUUCUAAAUACAAAUUAUUAAUUCAAAGAGAGUGGUAUAACUGUUCCCUGAUAUCUCACUUAAAUGCUAGCUAGCAGGCCUUUCUCGGUUCUACUUCUGAAAGAAAAACAAUUUUCAAUAGAAUUGUAUUUGUUGAAUGCUGAUUAAACUAAAUAGUAGAGUUUAUGUGGAAAAUAAGGUAGAAAAUUACAUGUGUGACUUACUGAUUUAAACUUUUGUGUAUCUUAGAAAAACAUCACCAGAUUAAACCGUGGCAGUGAUUAAAUAUAAUUCAUAAUACAGAUAAGAGGAUGAUGUUGCUUGUAAUGAAAGAAGAACUUUUCGUGUUUUACCAAACUUGGGUUACAAGAGAGCAAAUAAGACACACAUACAAGGAAAGACCCAAAUCUGCGACAGCACACGUCGUAUGUCUGUAUAUUCAAUUACCCCAACAUGUAAUAUGUAAAAGAUAGUAAGAUCUCCAAGUCUUGUGUCUAGUCAAAAGAAAAGGUGAACUCUGCUUCAGCUCAGCCCCUGAGACAAAAUUAGGGCAAUCUGGGUGAUCGGAUAGCCCAGAUUCAGAAAGGUGCCUAAUUCUUGGCCGGAAUCAUAGCACUCUUCUGGUUUGGGACAUCUAUAGAAGGCAAUCAGAUCCUCAGUACUUAUGGUUCCCAUCAAGAAAACCUGUUCUACUCCAUUCCUCCUCUCUGCCUUGCAGUGUGUGUUUCCUGUAGCAGCUUACUAAGCCUUGUAGCCUGGUUUCAUCAGCAUGCUGCUGAUAUGCAGCCCUACGCUGUGAGCUGAUACGACCCUGACCUCACAGGUACUGCGACCUUGUGCCUAGACAUCAGGCAUCUUUUGGUGGCUGAAACUCAGAUUAAGAUGGUGACAAUGGUGAGAGCUGGAGAAACUGCUUUACAUUUGCAGCUAUGAAUGAGGACAAACUGGAUUAGGGGUAAUGGCAUAGGAGGGAGGAUUCUUUGGAAUGGUGGCGGUGAAUGGAGGUUUGCUGCCUUUAACCUUUCCAGUUCCGUGCAUUUACUUUGCAUGUCUGUGAUCUCCCAUUGUGGUACAGGAUUUGCAGUGAGUCUGGGUGCUGGUGGAGAGCAGGCAUGGAGCUGUGCUGAACAUUUACUAUGGAAUAAUAAGGGAGGGCUAGUGGCCUUUCUUUCAUCUUAAUAUGAGUCAGCCAUUACCGAGGGACGUGGGCAGAGCUUCAGUGUUCUCCACUGGAAUUGCUUGGCCAUUGUAAAAGAGGGCAAAAGCUGGAGCUUCGGUAGGCUUGGAGCUUCUGCAAAUUGAGCUGCAAUGCUCUAGUGAUUCAUUUUGGUCUUCAGAAAGUGCUCGCUCAUCUUUGAGGCAAUAAGCCCAACUCCAGAAUCUGAUAAAUCUAUUUACAAACCCUUAAAUCUGAUAAUCUACCUUGGCUGAUAAUCCCAGGUGCCUGAAAGGAGACAAGACUACCAUCUGUCGGCAGCGUUUGUCCAUCUGUAGGGUAACCAGUGCUACAGAGCUUCCCCUGUUGUCCUGCAAAGCUUUGCUCUGCUAUGUGUGUGUGGCCUGGGAACAUCUGAACGUAUCCUUUGAGGGGCAUUGGACUUAGUGACUUCAGCAUCCUGUACCAACCCAGUGCCUUACUACUCCCGUUAUAGCACUGGUAUAGCAUCGCAGGGAGCAGAGACCCAGCUCCUGUCACGCUGGACUUUCCAUCCACCUCUGUAAGAGCUGUUCCUAGGAAAUUAUCCUUAAUUAAACAAGAUAAAGAGAAGAGAAGCAGAAUCCCUCUAAAGAGAAGCAGAGGGAUUAAAACUAGGGCUGAGGAGCUGUUUAUGCGGAGUCUCUCCAUGGGGGAUGUUCUUCAGUUUGUCUCAGCAUUCCAAGAGUCCUUUAAGUGAGAGGCUGUGGUUUACGGAGUCAACAGAUUUAAGCAGGCUACGAAUAUUAAUUAUUAAUUGCUCUUGGAGAGUGCUAUACAUUAGAUUGGUGAAGUAGUUAACAGCUAUGCCUUCUCCUCCCCACAGGCGCGCUCUUGCUGUCAGAUUUCUCUCCCCAGCUAAGACCCUGGUGCUAGAAUUAGGCCAGAAACUAUUUUCCAGUCGAGUGGCUUUUAAUGGGCUCUCCAGGAUUCUUCUUUGCAUCCUGUGAGCGAUGAGAUGUGUGGAGAGGAGAGAUGGUGGGAUUGAUUCAUACCGUAGGAAGUAAGAGAGAUUUAACUAAGUGGGGCUCAGUGCUGCUAGAGCUGCAGGAAGCCCUGUGGCAGUUGUAUCUUGCACUCCAGAAGCACCUGUUAAUUAUCCACUGCACUGGGCAGUGCUCUGGAGGAGCCCACCUGCAGGAGCCCACAGGGAAAUGGUAUUUCUGCUGAAAGGCAAGGCUGUGAUCUUUUGGGAUCUUCUCCAUCAGGAGUCCUAGGCAGCCUGAUCUAGUGUUUGACAGCCCUGCCCAUGGAGGGUGGGUUGAAACUAGAUGGCCCUUAAGGUUCCUUCCAACCCAAACCAUUGUGUGAUUCUGUGACCUUGGAUGGUGUACUGUUGGGCUCUCGUGGGCUCACACAGCUGGGAAUUCCUUAACCUCCUCAGCUCUGGCAGCAUGUGUGAAGUGUAAUGAGCGUGAUGGUUUGGAGAUGGUUGUGUGUUUCAUAGAAUCCUUAGAGUUGGAAGGGACCUCUGAAGGCCGUCUAGUCCAUCUAGUUUCAUCUCCCUGCAGAUGUUGAGGAGGUGUCAUGGUGUGUCCCUUACUGCUUUUAAAGACAGUUCUCCCUUCCUUCCUGCAUCUCUUCUCCAGCCGGACAUUGCAGAAUGGUGGCUUGCAUGAAGCCAGAGGCCAAGCUCUAUGGUCUGGAGCCUCACAGGGAGUCCUCCAAGUGAAGGAUGAGCCCUGAGCUGCAGGAGAGAUCUACUCCCACUAAACCAACCUCCCGAGGGGACUUACUUCGUUUGACUGGCUCCGUCAUCCUCAGGAGGAAACUUUCCUCUGCAAGAUGGUGAAAUAGUGCCCAUGUGGAAACGUUCUGACUGCAUGCGCCUGGAGUCCGGCAUUGUUGCAGAGGAGGAGGGCGGCAUAGGAUGGCUCCAAAGAAAAGAGGUCUGCAUCAGAAGGAAAACCUCCUGCCAUGCCAGCUUGCCCAGACCUAACGGUGAGACGGCCUUUCCCAGCUACAUUAAGGGCUGCUUCUUGUGGACUGGAAGUAUUGCCAAAGAGUGAGUGAUCCUUAUUAAUAUGCAUCUCCAAAAACAACAGGCAGUCUUGCACAGAUCCUCUCACACGUAUCUUUGGAUUUUGAGACAGUGGAGAGCUAUUUAUUCCCUCUCACACCAAUGUCAGCCAUAGCGCAAGAUGUCUUGAGCUGAUUAAAAAUCUCUUUAAUCAAAUGCUGGCAGGGGAAGUGUUCAGAAUGUUAGAAGGAUGACUUUGACAAGCUGCCCCUGCACUGUGAGUGACUUCAUCCAGAGGUUGGCCCGGCAGACUGGCGUGUGAUACAAAGCCUCCACUCACCUUGAUUUCCAAAGCUGCCAACAAACUGCAGUGACGAUGCUGAGAAGCCAGUAGGGCACUGUAGCCUGUGCUCAGUUCUUCUCCGUUAGAUACUGACCCCCCCAAAAAAAACCUUUGCUACAGGCAAAAUCCAUCACUCGAUUCAUCAACCCCUACCUACGCUUCAAAUUCCUAUAUCCCAAAUCCAUGGGAACGAUUUUGAACAUGAAUGUAGGCUGGAAAUCAUUGCUGUGCAGAUUGUCUGGAGGCUUUUUUUUCCCCCCUGUUCUAUGGCUGAACUGGACUUCAAAAGAAUAAAUAAAAUCCAUUCUGGUAGCACCCCCUCCUCCCCCCCCCAACCCCCCAGGAGGAGUGUACUUCUAUGGAGAAAGGGCAUAAAGAAACCUCCUGAUAUUUUAUUCAACCAGAAUUAAGUGUUUUGAUUUUGGGGAAUUCAGCUAAUUUUCUUACUCCUCAAAAUAGGUCAGCUUUGAAAUAGAAGAUGUCACGCUGUAACAAAAAAAGGGGAAUAGAUUUGUUUAGUGAAUGUAAGAUUAUACAUACAUACUUCUGGAAUUUUAACAAGCUUAUGAAUGGAAAGAAAGCAUCCAGGUUGUUUCUCAGUCAGUUAGACUUGGAUUUAGGACCGGUUUUCACUCUCCAUAAACUGCAUUUCUUUUUCACUUAGAAGAUCCCCUCCCACCACAAAAGCCCCUUCCCCUUUUGCCAUUGCUGGAAAUAAAUAGCCAUAAUAUAGCUGGAAUUAAUACAGCUACACUGAGUCAACUAAGUGCUGAAUUUUUCUUUCCCAAUGCUCUCCGGGCACCCAGACGUGCUCAAUAGGAAGUGUUGGCACUUGGGGCUACGUAUAGAAAACCAGGGUGUGUGCUGCUGGGGCUGUUAGGGAGGAAAUCUUGUGCCAGCAGCCCUCUGCUGUGGGCCUUCUCCAAGCUUUGUCUCUAUUCCCUCAUUCCUCUGCAGAUGUCCUAAGCCACAUUUUGCUUUCAUUAUGACAAAAAUUGUGCAAGAUACUCAUCUUCUUUUAUUUAUUUAUAUAUAUAUAUAUAUAUAUAUAUAUAUAUAUAUGUAUAUGUAUUUUGUAGCAUUUCUGUGUUCCUACACCUUCUCUCUUUGCGGCAUUGCUUGUGGACAUGUAAGUAGUAGGUUAGUUUCUAUUCUCACUCUGGGGGGUUGGGUUCCAAACUGUUUAUUGAGUAAUAAAAAGAGAAAAUGGCGAGUCAUUGCCCAGGGAUAAUGUGCUAAUAAUUUUAUGACUGGACAAAUGGUUGCAACAGCCCACAAAUGGCUGUAGGCAGGAAACCUGGUGUCUAUUGCUGACAGAGCCACCCCCAAGGAGAUAAAACCUCACUUUUGGUGAUCAAAGUUGAUGCAACAACUGUGAUCUAUUAAAAAUUACUUUGGAGAUGGGUAAGGCAAUCAUUAUUCCUCUUGGAGGAGAAGUGGCGGACAUAGACUUUUUGGGAAGUGUUUAGAAGAGAGCUCUACAUGGGAUGAAUGCAACAGACCACCGUGGCUGCUUGCGCUCGGAGCCACGCGGCGCGCAGCUGCAGGGCUGCAGGCUGGGGAUGCUUGGAGAAACAAAGAUUAAAGGGGGGUUAGUGCUAUCAGGCAAACACGAAUCAUCCCAGAGAUAACAAAGGGUUGAAGUUUAUUUAGCCACUAACCGUAUGGCACUCAAGUGCGUUAGCCUGGCUUGACUGCUGCAGAGCAUGGAGCCGGAAUGGCUGCUGCAGGGCGUACACCAGGAUACACCCUGUCCCACUCUGGGCUGAUGUCCCCUGUCUGAUUACUCAAGGAGGAUGUCCCCCUCCUGGGGAUGGGGCAGUUGUCCCAUCGGCACCAAUUUCUUCCCGCUGUUGUGGAGUUUGGUGGGGAAGGAUGAGCAGGGCCCUUGUGAGGUCUCUCUCUGCCCGUCUCCCAGCAGGCAGGAGGAGCUGUACCUCUUCCAAAGCCGCAGCAGAUCCAGCCCUCGAAGCGGGCAAGAAGCCAUGUGAUGGGGCGUAGCUGCUCGCAGCUGCCAAGACCUCACAUUUGUAUGUUAGUGAUGCAGAUAGGAUCUCAUAAACCCGUCUCCAUACUGCUUUACUGCUGAUUUAACGAUCAGAGGAAGAACUUGACUGUUUAUUAAAACAUUAGACAGUAAAGUUUAACAAUAGACAGUAAAGGGUUUUGUUUUUCCAUCCCUCUGAUUGUUAAAGCAACAACACAUAGGCCUGGAGAGGGGCCUGCUGCUAACCUCAGGAUGAUGGGAUGGGGCCAUGAAGCUCCUCCAGAAGGCAGGAUAGAGCAGCUGGCAUUCUGGCAAAUCCCAUAUCUGAAGAAGGAAAUCUGAUGUAGGGUAUGGGUGCGUGCCCCAUCACCGGAGGCGCUGAGGGCUGGGCUGGAUGGGGCCCUGGGCAGCCUGAGGUGGUGGGGGGCAGCCAGCCCAUGGCAGGGGUAGGACUGGGUGGGCUGUAAGGUCCCUUCCAACCCAACCAUUCUGUGAUUCUAUGAGUCUGACUGCGAGAAGGGGCAAUCCAAUUGCUCUGUGGGCAAGAGUCUCGUGGUAGGGCUCCUGUUGUUCAGCAGACCCACAAACACCGGCAAAGGGAGCAGAUGGAAACAAAACUCGCAAGGCAACAGCAUUAUUCAGGACAGUGCCAACAAAAGCUGACUGCGAAGAAACGCCGAAGGAUUGCAGCGUGCAGGUGAUGAAAUGGCAGAGGAAAUUCAUUGUUGGUAACUGCAGAUAGAGAAAAAUCAGCAGUGGCUGUACCCAUACAGCAGCACCAUCUCAAUGAGCUAUUGCCUCUCUGGAAGGAGGCUGUGGAGGCAAGGCAGGCUGUUUCUGGAAACGUCAGCAGUGAUCACAAAGGCAGUGGCCAUUCUAGGAGUUACGGAGGAAGAAAUGGAGAGUAAAACAGGCUGCCAUUGUGCUGCUGGGUGCAUCCACAGUGCAUCCCCAUCCGAGGUGCUGCCCCUGCUUCUGGUGGCCGUGUCUUGGGGCCAAGGGAAGAUGGAAGAGGAGUUACAGGGACUUCAUAGCAGGACCUCGAGAACUUGAGCUGAAGUGGACAGAUCUGGAGGAGAAGAUGAGAGGAAGAAAGCCCUGGGUGGCUUGGAGGAGUUGGACAUGGAGCUGGACAAGCAUCUGCUCUGUGUCUGUGCUGAUGCUAUUUAGAAACCCCAGCCUUGGCUCUGCUUGACAUUUGGUAAUGCUGAACUGGGACAGCACCCAAAAAACCCCAUCCGUGUUGGACCGUCAGUAAGAGGUGGCACAUCUGACCAAAACCACGUCGCCAUUUGCUUCCUUGACAGCACAUCCUACCUUAUCCCCUGUCCUUGUCCUGCUGACCCCCGUUCCCAGCCUCCCUUGCUCAAUUUCAGCAGCAUCUUGGGAGGCCCCUUCAGCUGCAAGCCCCUCGCUUGGGAAAGAAAGUGGGGUUGGAGGGGGGGGAUCAGAGCCCAGCUGUGGGCUGGGGCAGCAGGCGAGUGCUUUCCAAACGCUGACUGCUGUUGGUGUAUUUCUGCUGGUGAGGAUGCAGCUGGCAGCGUUUGUGUGCAUGCGUUUAUACACACACACACACACACACACAUACUCACCUCCACACGAGUACACGACUAAAAUACAUAUAUUUCCUCACCCCGCAUCUUUCUGCAAGCUGCAAAAAUACAAAAGAAUAAAAUUAAGUCUCUUAUCGCUGCUAAGUCAUCAGAAACUAAUAUUGCAUCUACCGGGCAGUUUUCCCCCUCCCCCCCCCCCGAACCAUCUCCACUUCGCAAUCCUAAUUCAAUGAUUCUUUCUGUAGCUCUUUACAUUCUAUUAUUUAUAAGAAACAAUAUUCAGCCCUCCCCUGACAGUGUUUGCAGGGCUGCGGGAAGCAGUGCGGCAGAAAGGUGGUAGAACAAUUUUGGUUAUGUUUCCAUAGCUACCUAGCUGCUAAAUGUGGUUUAUUCCAUUUUAAAGUCAACCAACACACACCCGCACGCACACGCACAAACCACCAGAUGAAGUGUAUUCAAACUAAUCCCUGGGCCGCCUAUUACAGCCUAAUAUCCCUGCCAUUUGUAUAUUUAAAGGGAUAGUUGCUGCAGAAAUAAAUGGCAGGGCAGCGCUCUCGCUGGCUAGAGCAGGAUGAUCAACAUAUUGUUUCUUUCUUGCUCUCCUCUCCGACGUGUGUGUUCCACUCCAUCCCUGUAAUAUUAUUAUGGAGAUUUUUACCGAGGGCUGAGAGCUGAGGAAGUCGGAGGUAGGAUGGUGUCCUCUCGUGGCAGUCAGCAUCUCUGCAGCCUGAUGGUAGCCGUGCCAAGAGAGAGCCGAGCCUGGGCUCUCCUGGGCAUGCACGGCUGUCUUAGGGACAAAACUCUUGGAGCAGAGCUUCCCACCUCCCCUAGUGCACCCAAAGACGAGGAGCCUCCUGCUUCUGCUCCACGCCAGGCUGGAGGCUGCUGCUUGCUCUUGCUUUCCCUGCGUGAAAGAAGAACCCUUGGGAAAGGAGUGGUGGGUACCAGCUUUGCAGAGCGGAGGAAGUUUGUCCCAUGGAAGUGAGCAUCUCUGAGCUGCCGUGGGUUGGUGGAGAACAUCUCAGAGCUUGUAAUCAGUGCCUCAUAAAUCACCGCUGACUGCCGGGAUCGCUUUGGCCGCUCUUCCCCAUCGUCCUGUCUGCAGGAAUGGGCUGCACGUUUCCACGUGGAUCGGGUCUGAAUUGGCUGUCUGAAUCCAGAGAUUAAAGAAACAGCAGCCUCUCUCUCUCCUGUAACUGCUUCCCCUUUUUAUUUCUCAAAUCUUUUAUUUCUUUAUAACAGACUGACUAAUUAAUGUGCACCUUGCUAGGCCCGAGAAUCCAUGAGCAUCCUCAGAAGUCUGAAGAGAAUGGGCAUCCUGUCUAUAUCCAAGGCAGGUAAUCACUGUAAAGGUAAGAAAAUGGAAGAGUUCAUCCCUUGGCACCCAGAAUACUUUAUCUGCCUUCUUAUAUGCUCACAAAUGGCUAUUGUAAACCAUGUUUUCUCUUCACCAAAAAUACAAAACCAACGGAGAUGCAUGUUUCUCUGCUGAUGCUGGUGAUGCCACGGGUCCCAGGAGGCUUGCUGGGUAGUGAGGGAGCUGCCCAUAUAUUUUUGUGUGCAGGGGAGCUGCUUGCAAGGAAAGCUCACUAAUUAGGGGGAAAAUAUUUGAUCUCUAUGGGCUUUUGGUGAAAUAUCUGAGAAAGGCAGCAGAUGUUGCUGAAAUUAUUUUUCAUCUGUUUUCCCCCGUUUUCUUCCCAUAUUUUUUAUGUGGUGUAUCGAAUUAAAAUUCAAUAAACAGCUCAUGGCUGUUUAUCGGGGAGUGCAAAAAACCUGCUCUAGAUUAAAGCCAGUGCCUCAUCUAAUGCAGUGUGUGCACUCACCCCAGCAUCCCUCUGCCUUACUUCUGAAAGCCACAGAUUACCCACGGUCUUCAGCAAGGAGUUGUCAGACUACCCAAAAUGUGCUGUAGCACAGCCAGCCCAUAUUUCUCCAUUGGGUCUGAUGUCAUCCAGCACCUUUCUACUGUGCAGGUCCUUCCCUCAUCACAUCUCUGUUGUAACACCUUUUCCUCUGUAUUGAUCUGCCACAUUGCUACACCAGGGGACUCUUUGACAGCUGAAGUUUUUGGUAUGUCUGCAUGAUGUGAAGGUCCAGAAGGCCACCACUGGGGCUUCUGGUCACCACCCCAUCAGACCUGUGAGUAUGCAGGGAUCUGAAAUAAACUUUCUAAAAAUGAGUUUCUGCCCUCAUAAUUUGUGGUGGCUUUCUGCUAUUUAGACUUCUCAUCCCUUUUCAAGAUAAAAUAUCCUCAGAAAUGCCCAUAGUGGGUUUCCAGCACGCUUUCACCGUGCCUUCAGCAAUUUUGUGCAUGUUGACUCCCUGAGGUCACUACUACAGAUGCCUCACCAGUGUACUCAACAUGAGAAGACCAACGUUGCUUGAAACAUUACUCAGGGCCCCAGCAUAAUUAUACCAAUUACAGAGUCAGGCCCUGAGCUGUGCUUUCUGAUGCACACAUCUGCCACGCGGGCUUCAUUGCAUGUGCGGAUCCUGUCGCUAAUAAUGGAAGAUGCCCCAGUCUCUCCAGGGGCAACAGUCUCUGCUACAGGCAAGGUACUAAAUCACACUUGAAGUUUCUAGGCCAAAAUGUUUUACUUUUGUUUUAGAGGAAUAAAGUUCCAAACAAGUGUGAGGUGUAUUUCCAGGCCUGAUUAACCUGGCUCACCUGGUAAUGUGGAAAAAGGGGAGCAGCCUUGUGGGAGGUGGAAGCAGGACCAUCCUGUAGAGCUGGCAUAGAAAUGAUUAGGUGGAAUUAGUUUUUAAAAAAAAAAUAGGUCUUGAAGAGCACUCAAGAAAUGUGCAUGCCACCAUGCUCCAAUGUAGAUUUAACUCUUUCUAUAUCUGUUCAACCUCCCAACAGCAUCUUUGAAAGUACCAGCGAUUUCUCUGGUCAUGGGCCCUGCCAACCUUCAGUCUUACAAGUGCUGUGGGCCUUUGAGCCAGGAGAAGGCACAAAGCCAAUUUUAAUUAGUGGUAUUUUGCAAGCCUAGGUUGCUGGAUCUUGUUGAAUCAAUCUCUGUUGCCUCAGUUAAUCCAUGCCACAGUUGCAGCAGAUGGAAGCUCCUGCAGAAGGUGACACGAAGGGACUCUGGCAUUCAGGCCUAGACCCUUGAAGUGCUUGAUGGUGUACUGAGGAAGGUUCUUGGAUUCCAAGGCAAGAAGCAAAGCCACUUGGCACUUCUUUUUCUCCCAACAAGAAUAUAUCUGUCAAGAGAAACAGAUGUUCUCUAUGAAGAAUCUUCUUUAAUUACAAGUCUGUCAAAAAGAGAAAUCUUCAAGUGUCUCAAGCCUCAAAUCUGCGAAUGGCUUCAGCCCUGGGCAAGAAAUCACCCCUUUCCUGAGCAGCCCCAGUGCCCUUUCUCAGCUCUUGUCAUGUCAUCCCUGCAGCUGCACCAAUAAACUGGGCAUUUUUGGAGUUUAGUUUUCAGAUGAGCCCGCUUCAAAUC
rnacentral:lncRNA from 1 species